rnacentral:rRNA from 1 species
GAUUAACGCUAGCGGCAGGCAUAAUACAUGCAAGUUGAACGGCAGCACAGGUAGCAAUACUGGGUGGCGAGUGGCGCACGGGUGCGUAACACGUAUGCAACCUACCCUAUACAGGCGAAUAACCUUUAGAAAUGAGGGCUAAUACGCCGUAGUAUUACAGAUGGGCAUCUAUUUGUAAUUAAAGAUUUAUCGGUAUAGGAUGGGCAUGCGUCCCAUUAGUUAGUUGGUAAGGUAACGGCUUACCAAGACGAUGAUGGGUAGGGGAUCUGAGAGGACUUACCCCCACACUGGUACGGAGACACGGACCAGACUCCUACGGGAGGCAGCAGUAAGGAAUAUUGGGCAAUGGCCGCGAGGCUGACCCAGCCAUGCCGCGUGCAGGAAGACGGCCUUAGGGGUUGUAAACUGCUUUUAUACGGGAAUAAUAGAGUGUACGCGUACAUUUAUGCAAGUAUCGUAUGAAUAAGCAUCGGCUAACUCCGUG